rnacentral:rRNA from 1 species
UCUUAAACUUAGUGGCGGACGGGUGAGUAACGCGUGGAUAACCUGCCUGAAUGACUGGGACAACACCGGGAAACUGGUGCUAAUACCGGAUACGCUCAUCAUUGCGCAGGCGAAGGUGAGGAAAGGAGAAAUCCGCAUACAGAUGGGUCCGCGUCCCAUUAGCUAGUUGGCGGUGUAAGAGACCACCAAGGCGACGAUGGGUAGCCGGCCUGAGAGGGUGGACGGCCACACUGGAACUGAGACACGGUCCAGACUCCUACGGGAGGCAGCAGUGGGGAAUCUUCCGCAAUGGGCGAAAGCCUGACGGAGCAACGCCGCGUGAGUGAGGAAGGCCUUCGGGUCGUAAAACUCUGUCUUCAGGGAAGAAAAAAAUGACGGUACCUGAGGAGGAAGCCCCGGCUAACUACGUGCCAGCAGCCGCGGUAAAACGUAGGGGGCGAGCGUUGUCCGGAAUUACUGGGCGUAAAGGGCGCGUAGGCGGUUAUUUAAGUCAGAGGUGAAAACUACCGGCUCAACCGGUAGCCUGCCUUUGAAACUGGAUGACUUGAGGGCAGGAAAGGGGAGUGGAAUUCCCAGUGUAGCGGUGAAAUGCGUAGAUAUUGGGAGGAACACCAGUGGCGAAGGCGGCUCUCUGGCCUGUUUCUGACGCUGAGGCGCGAAAGCGUGGGGAGCAAACGGGAUUAGAUACCCCGGUAGUCCACGCCGUAAACGAUGGGUGCUAGGUGUAGGAGGUAUCGACCCCUUCUGUGCCGUAGUUAACACAAUAAGCACCCCGCCUGGGGAGUACGGCCGCAAGGUUGAAACUCAAAGGAAUUGACGG